rnacentral:rRNA from 1 species
UACAGAGGUCCCAAGCGUUGUUCGGAUUCACUGGGCGUAAAGGGUGCGUAGGUGGCAAGACAAGUCGGAUGUGAAAUCUCCAGGCUCAACCUGGAAACUGCAUUGGAAACUGUCUAGCUAGAGGGUUUGAGGGGGGACUGGAAUACUUGGUGUAGCAGUGAAAUGCGUAGAUAUCAAGUGGAACACCAGUGGCGAAGGCGAGUCCCUGGAAAAUACCUGACACUGAGGCACGAAAGCUAGGGGAGCAAACAGG